rnacentral:ncRNA from 1 species
CUCUUAUCCAGAGAGGCGGAGGGACCGGCCCUAUGAAGCCUCGGCAACCUGGCAAUCGCCAAGGUGCCAAUUCCGACAGGAACAAUCUGGGAGAUAGGAG